CAGGCCUAAACAUGCAAGUCGAGGGGUAACGAUCCGCCGUAAGGCGGAGGCGACGACCGCGCACGGGUGAGUAUCGCGUUUGUAACCUACCUCUAACUGGAGAAUAGCCGAAGAAAUUCGGAUUAAUACUCCAUAAUAUUAUGAUCUGGCAUCUUUUAUAGUUAAAGCUCCGGCGGUUAGAGAUGGGCAUGCGUAACAUUAGCUUUUGGUGAGGUAACGGCUCACCAAGGCCACGAUGUUUAGGGGGUCUGAUCGAUGGUCCCCCACACUGGUACUGAGACACGGACCAGACUCCUACGGGAGCAGCAGUGAGGAAUAUUGGUCAAUGGGCGAAAGCCUGAACCAGCCAUGCGCGUGAAGGAUGACAGCCCUAUGGGUUGUAAACUUCUUUUUGUACGGCAGAAACACUUCUACGUGUAGAAGCUUGAGCGUACCGUACGAAUAAGCAUCGGUACCUCCGUGCCAGCAGCCGCGG
rnacentral:rRNA from 1 species